rnacentral:rRNA from 1 species
CGGCGGACGGGUGAGUAACACGUGGAUAACCUACCUAUAAGACUGGGAUAACUUCGGGAAACCGGAGCUAAUACCGGAUAAUAUAUUGAACCGCAUGGUUCAAUGGUGAAAGACGGUUUUGCUGUCACUUAUAGAUGGAUCCGCGCCGCAUUAGCUAGUUGGUAAGGUAACGGCUUACCAAGGCAACAUGCGUAGCCGACCUGAGAGGGUGAUCGGCCACACUGGAACUGAGACACGGUCCAGACUCCUACGGGAGGCAGCAGCC